rnacentral:rRNA from 1 species
CACGCCCUAAACGAUGUCAACUAGGUGUUGGGUGGGUAAAACCAUUUAGUACCGUAGCUAACGCGUGAAGUUGACCGCCUGGGGAGUACGGCCGCAAGGUUAAAACUCAAAGGAAUUGACGGGGACCCGCACAAGCGGUGGAUGAUGUGGAUUAAUUCGAUGCAACGCGAAAAACCUUACCUACCCUUGACAUGCCAAGAAGUUUCCAGAGAUGGAUUCGUGCCCGAAAGGGAGCUUGGACACAGGUGC